rnacentral:lncRNA from 10 species
CAAGAGUCUGGGUGGUGUCUCCCAUCUGAUACAGUUCUUUGCACUUACAUAUUUGUUUGCUUCCAAAUUCCUCUGAACAGUUUAUGAACAGAAAUCCUCCCAACACACCCGAGCUGAAAGAUAUGCAAUUGUCUUGAAAAUGGAGUAUCAGUUCUUUCUUGCUACAGCAGCCAACUCCUGGGGAAAUAUACUACAGAUGCAAGUUCCUAAAACUUAAGUUUUUCAUCUCAAGGGAAAUACAUAUCUACCUCUAUAAAUUUCAAGGUUGGAGCACUUACUCAGAAGCUCUGGCGUAUAGGAAGCUCCCAGCACAGGGAACUUUAGAAAACUCAUAAAUGCAGGUCUCCAGAUGCCAGAAGAUUAAACAAAUGCCAGCUUCACAAGGCCAUGCUUUUCCAGCAGAAGAGAGAUGCAAUGUAAACAAAAAACUUGUAGGUAAAAAUAAAAUUUUGGAACAGAAAGAGGACACAAAAUAAGGAUUUAAGGCUGACAGAAUGGGAGGAGAAAAAAACAAGAAUUCAAUAUACCAACCAAGCAAAAAGGCUGCAGAGAAAGAAAAAAGAAAACACACAUCAACAGGCCACACCCUGGAGAUUUGAUGCACUGAAGCUUUCAGAAGUCUUGCAUGCUGUUUCCACUGGAGAACUGAUUGUGUCACAUUGCCAUGAUUCAUCCAGUGUCUGCCUUCCCUUAUACUCUGGGCAGAGAUGAACCCUUCUUUGCCAUCUCUCCAGCCGCAUAAAGUCACUGAAGCAUUAUAUUGGCUCAGUCAUUGUGGGUUGAUGAAUCCAGUGAGCACUUGAGAAGGUCCAUUUUCAAAAUAUCUCACAGGACAACUUGAUGGAAAAUAAAAAUAAUUCUUUUGUGAAAUUUCAUUUCUAUAAGCAGCAAUGAGUCUUCAUAUUUGUUGAGUACUUAUUUUCCUGUCACCAACAUUUGCUGCAAUUCCCUUUCUAUAAGAUCAAAGGACCAUAUAUAUAUAAUAAAUGAUCAUAGGGUGUUUGUUUGUUUUGAGUUGGAGUCUUGCUCUGUUGCCCAAGCUGGAGUGCAGUGGCAUGAUCUCGGCUCACUGCAACCUCCGCCUCCUGGGUUCAAGUGAUUCUCCUGCCUCAGCUGCCCAGGUAGAUGUGAUUACAGGUGCCCGCCACUACACUCGGCUAAUUUUUGUAUUUUUAGGAGAGACAGGGUUUCACCAUGUUGGCCAGGCUGGUCUCAAACUCCUGACCUCAAGUGAUCCCCCCUCCUCAACCUCCCAAACUGCUGGGAUUACCGGUGUAAGCUUGGCCUGAUCAUACUGUUUAAUUUUUUAAAGCCUAAUUGUAUAAAGCCCUGCUUUCAUUCUAGCCACUUGGAUCAAGUCAACUACUAUUUGUGACUAAAUCCAGUGAUGCUUUUUGACUUCCAUUUUACUGCCUGAUACAGUUUGGCUAUGUCCAAAGGGGGCAAUAGCAGAAAAAAAGAAGCAAACACUUCUAAGACUUCAAAUUGUGAAGCAUUACGUUUGAUCCUGCAACCUACAUUAGCUCAUGAUAUUACUACAAGAAAUCCCUAGGGGCUAACCAUACACCUCUGGUCCAGGAGAGAGAGAAGUUGAAAAAGAAACCAGAGGAAGCUGGAGCAGCUUCCAGUCCAACUAUUGCCCCAUGCUGACAAAGUGAGCAAACAGCCCUGUUUCCAAUGUCCCUGGCUCCUGUCUGCUGCCUAGAACAUUGCACAUAAACUGUUCUAUUUCUCUUCUGGUGUUCAUCUCAUUUUUCCUGUUAAGUUCCCAUUUGCUCUGGGAGAUAGUGGUUUGGGACUAUUAUUAUUACUGUUGUUAUUGUUAUUGUUAGAGGGGUUGGUUCCUGAGAGACGUUUAUAACCAACUCUGUAUGAUGCUGUUUGCUUUCUCUUCCCAUUCCAUGAAAUAGAGAAAUCCAGCAAGGAGAGAAUGCAGUGUCGCUCCAGGGGACCAGUUUAUACAGAGGAGUACAAAUCCCACUUGUACUUCACAGAGGAACAAGUUUAAGAUACGGCUUUUGUAAACAGACCCUUGGAUCUCAGUAAGGGGAUUUGAAAAGUCAAACAUGCUGGGGCCAUGACUAUAAAAGUAAAAUUACAAGGCUCAGGACCCUUUCCAGAGACAGGCUUAUUUCAAACAUUGCUAUCUUGUAGGUGUUAUUCUUAGCAGAACACGGGUUCGUGUCAGCUUUCCUUUUAACAUCCAGCUGGGAUGGGAGUCAUGCAAUAGCUUCAUUAGGCUGCUGAGGAGUUCAUUACCACAAAGUCCUGAUUUUUCCUCAAGUCUUAGCAUGACCUCUGAACCCACCCCUUUCUCUCAUACAUUUCUUUGUGGAUUUGUUUAUGUAGUCAGUAAAAAUGAAUCAGGUGCUUUACUGUGCCAGGCAUUGUGCUGGUCCAGAGAAUGCAAAGAUGGAUAAGACAGAGCCAUCAUCUUCAAGGACUUACAAAUAAGAUAGACAGAAGGUAAUCCAACACACUUACUGUGCUACAGAGGCUACAACAGAAGUCUGGAUGAGGGAACCAUGGGAACACACAACAGGGAAAGAAUAAUUCCCCAGAGAUGAAGAAGGGUGUAGUUCAGCCUUCAUCGAGGAGGUGGACUAUAGGCAAACACCUAAUGAUUGGACAACCUUAUUGAAUCAGACAGAUCUCAUACUCUGAAGCCUUCUGAUUAGGAGUUUGGGGUUCUGUCCUUGUGCUCUCAAAUCUAUGGCGAUGCGAUAUACCUAUGUUUUCACAACUGCCUUUUCUCAUUACCCUCUACUACUCUUCUGCCUGAACUUAGUAACGUUAUAGGAAGGGCAGCUCAGCAAAGUGCCUGUGUUCAAAUCCUAACCCUACCAUUUACUACCAAGUUACCCUGAAAAUGUAUUUUAACUUCUUUGUGCUUUGAUUUCUUCAGAUGAAAAAAUCAACCGGGCGUAGUGGCUCAUGCCUGUAAUCCCAGCACUUUGGGAGGCCAAGGCGGGUGGAUCACGUGAGGCAAGGAGUUUGAGACCAGCCUGGCCAAUGUGGUAAAACCUGGUCUCUACUAAAAAUAUAAAAAUUAGCCAGGCGUGGUGGCAUGCAUCUGUAAUCCCAGCUACUCAGGAGGCUGAGGCACAAGAAUCUCUUUAAUCAGGGCAGCAGAGGUUGCAGUGAGCCGAGAUCAUGCCGCUGCACUCCAGCCUGGGAAGUAGAGUGAGACUCUGUCUCAAAAACAAUAAAGAAAGAAAAUAAAAGACGGUGCCUACCUUAUAAGGUUGUUGAGAGGAUGCAUGAAAGGUAAAUGCAAGCACUUAGAAUAUCAAUGGCAUCAAGCAAGCACUGUAGAAAUGUUUAUUAUUCAUAACACAUUUUCCUCUUAAAUUUCAUGUAGAAACAAAAGCCAUAUUUUAGAAUUAAACUUUCUACUAUUCUCUUACUUCCAAAAUUGGAAAAUUUCUAAGAAGUAUUCUGAUUUGGGGCAAGUCACAUGGUAUCUUAGGGCUCAGUUUACCCACCUGUAUAAAUUAUUAACUCAAAGAGUACCUGCUAUGUGUCAGGUAUUCUUUAAACUCUUCAUAAACACCAUCUCAUUUUAUUCUCACAACCUCCCUCAAUGAAGUGAAUUCUGUGUUUACCCAUGUUUAUUUUUUAUUUAGUUAUUUAUUUUGCAAAUGAAAAAAAUGCGAUAUAGGUUUCUAUCUCCAGAGACGAUGAAUUUAACCACUCCACUACCCUCUUUCUGGGAGAGCUAGACUCUGUCUUUUUUUUUUUUUUUAAAUCCUACUUAAGGGGUUCUGUAUGUAAUGAUUUAUAUCUAAUUUACACCAUAAUGGCUUACAUUAUUCAAUCAUCAGAACAUCAUCCCCCUUACACACAAAUGUUGGUAUUUUUGUCCUGUUUUAUAGAUCUGUAAACUAAGACAGGUUAAGCUGGCUCUCUGUAACAAAGUUAAUGACUGAGAGAUACCAUGUUUGCACCUCGGCUUGUCUCAGUGCAACACUAGCAUCUUCAUCCACUGACUUGUACUAUUUAUCUGCAGGUAGGGGACAGUGUAGGGGGAGUGAUCAUAUGCACACACAUCUCCAAACAAUUCUGCCAAUAAUCUCAGGAGACUUACAAGUCCUCCAAAGGCCAUUUGUAGUACCAGUUAUGCUAUCAUGGAGUCCCCUAUAAUGUGCUUUAAUUUCAACUGUUAUAUAACUUUAGCCAAAGAACUUUUGUUAAGCUUUACUCUACUGAUUUUGCUAGGAAAGCAAAAGGCAUAUUGGUGAUGAUAUCUUCAAAGUUAGCCCAGCUUUCUUUAAGAGAUAAGCCCCAAAGCUCAUCAUUCCCAGUCCUUCCCUAAUAUUGCUGAUCUCUAGUCAAUCUGUUUAGGUUUACAGCCCUUGGACUAGAUGAAAUCUAAAGGUGUUUUAGACCAUAAAUUUUUGUUUCUCGAACUAUAGGAUUCCUCCAUGUCUAGUGCAUUAAUCCUCCACCUUAGCUGUACCAUGUUUACAUCCAAAGAAGACCUCCUUCCUAUAUUUUUAACUUUAGAUCAGGGGUGUCAGUCUACAGCCCACAGGCUAAAUCUGAUCUGCUGCUGUUACAUUUUUGCUUUUUCUUUUUUAAAUAAAGGAUUAUCAUAUUGAAAAACAGUCACUCUCAUUUGUUUAUGUAUUGUCUAUUGGUGUUUUCAUGCUACAAUGGCAGAUUAUUUGUGAAAUAGACCGCAUGGCCAAAAAACCUAAAAUAUUUACUAACUAGCCUUUUACAGAAAAAGUUUGCUAACCCACCCCUUACCUUAGAUUAUGAGUUUUGCAUGGCUGUAUUAGUCACGGUUCUCCAGAGGGACAGAACUACUAGGAUAGAGGUAUAUAUGAAGGGGAGUUUAUUAAGGAGAUUGACUCACACAAUCACAAGGUAAAGUCCCACAAUAGGCCAUGUGCAAGCUGAG